GGGACUGCUAGUUCAAGACCAGUGUACACUGUGGCCACCUACACCUGUGGCACUGGAUACACUCUCAAUGGAGGCAGCACCACCAGGGUCUGUGUAAGUGGAGGGAAGUGGGAUGGUGCUGCUCCUCACUGUCCACCUGUGCAUUGUGGGACUCCUCCACCUAUUACCAAUGGAUCUCCUGGGACACCAACAACCACAACAUUCACAGGGACAGUGACCUACAGCUGUGUCAGUGGAUACUGGAUCUCUCGUGGAGUCACCACAGCAAUUGCCACCUGUAAGGCUGACAAUACCUGGGGACCUCUACCAACUUGUAAACUUGUGGAUUGUGGCUCUCCUCCCCCUGGUAUCAAUGUCUCUCCUGUGGCUCCGAUCAGAACAAUCUACCAAGUGACAGUCCUCUACACCUGUGACAGUGGGUAUGAGGUCUCUAAUGGAGUCACCACAGCAACAGCUACCUGUGAGACUACUGGCGAUUGGGAACCUCUACCAACUU